UACGUAGGUGGCAAGCGUUAUCCGGAAUUAUUGGGCGUAAAGCGCGCGCAGGUGGUUUCUUAAGUCUGAUGUGAAAGCCCACGGCUCAACCGUGGAGGGUCAUUGGAAACUGGGAGACUUGAGUGCAGAAGAGGAAAGUGGAAUUCCAUGUGUAGCGGUGAAAUGCGUAGAUAUCGGGAGGAACACCAGUGGCGAAGGCGACUCUUUGGUCUGUAACUGACGCUGAGGCGCGAAAGCGUGGGGAGCAAACAGG
rnacentral:rRNA from 1 species